CCUACGGGGUGCAGCAGUGAGGAAUAUUGGUCAAUGGGCGGAAGCCUGAACCAGCCAAGUCGCGUGAGGGAUUAAGGCCCUGCGGGUCGUAAACCUCUUUUGCCGGGGAGCAGAGGUCCGGACGUGUCCGGGCCGGGAGAGUACCCGGAGAAAAAGCAUCGGCUAACUCCGUGCCAGCAGCCGCGGUAAUACGGAGGAUGCGAGCGGUAUCCGGAUUUAUUGGGGUGAAAGGGUGCGUAGGCGGGCAUUUAAGCCGGCGGUCAAAUGUCGGGGCUCAACCCCGGCCUGCCGUCGGAACUGGGUGCCUUGAGUGGGCGGGAAGUAUGCGGAAUGCGUGGUGUAGCGGUGAAAUGCAUAGAUAUCACGCAGAACCCCGAUUGCGAAGGCAGCAUACCGGCGCCCUACUGACGCUGAGGCACGAAAGUGCGGGUAUCGAACAGGAUUAGAUACCCGUGUAGUC
rnacentral:rRNA from 1 species